GACGAACGCUGGCGGCGUGCUUUACACAUGCAAGUCGAACGAAAAGGCCCUGGUUUUGUGGGGUGCUCGAGUGGCGAACGGGUGAGUAACACGUGAGUAACCUGCCCUUGACUUUGGGAUAACUUCAGGAAACUGGGGCUAAUACCGGAUAGGCGCUCCUGCUGCCAUGUUUGGGUUGGAAAGUUUCCGCGGUGGGAGAUGGACUCGCGGCUUAUCAUCUUGUUGGUGGGGUAGUGGCGUACCAAGGAGUUGACGGUGCGCCGGUGUGAGGGGGUGACCGGCCACAUUGGGACUGAGAUACGGCACAGACUCAUACGGGAGGGAGGAGUGGGGAAUAUUGCAAAAUGGGAGGAAGUCUGAUGCCGCAACGGCGCGUGCGGGAUGACGGCCUUCGGGUUGUAGACCGGUUGAGCCGGAGACGGAGGGUGAGUGGCGGUAAUGGGUAAAGAAGCACGGGCUAACUACGUG
rnacentral:rRNA from 1 species